GAAAAGAAAAACAAGAAAGUACGAGAAGAAGAAGAAGUCAUGUGACCGCACAAGAACCAAAGCUUUUCAAUCUGAAAAAACAUUAAAGGAGUAUGCUUUAUUCGGACGUUAAUCAAAUUCCAAAGAUCAAGUUGAGGUUAGUGAUGCUCGCAUUUGUAUUUCUCUGGAGUCUUGUGUGUUGGGAGUUGUUGUAGGAAUCAAUGGAAAUUCAGCCGAUAUGAAUUAACAUUUCUGGUACAUCGUAACAUGAUGUUCUAACGUUUACACAUACUCUAAUUUUUCAAGAUACUCCUUUUUCAUUUA